CGGCCUGUGUUACAGACCUAUUUAUGUGUAAGAGUGUGUGAGAGUAAAGCAAAGCAGUUCCUCCCAAGACGUUAUCUUUUGAUGCCGCUUCAAAGACGAACCUCCUAGUAUCUCCGAUAAGUAACUCCCAUAAGUAAUGUUCCUGUUGCAGACCCGCUAUUCCAAUGGCGUAGAGUGCCUUAUGGCAGAUUUAUUAGUAUUUGUAUUUGAUAGUAAAGGUAAGAAUUAUGUCUAAGAAGACUGGUCAGGUUAAGUGGUUCAACGAAGCUAAAGGUUUUGGUUUUAUUGAACAGCAUGAUGGCGGUAAAGAUGUGUUUGUUCACUUCUCCGCAAUCGCAACUGAUGGUUUCAAGACUUUGGCUGAAGGCCAGCGUGUUGAAUACACCAUCCAAGACAGCCCGCGCGGGCCGGCUGCUGCGAACGUUGUUGCUCUGUAAUACAGAAAUAUA
rnacentral:sRNA from 1 species